rnacentral:rRNA from 1 species
AGACCCGAAACCCGGUGAUCUAGCCAUGGGCAGGUUGAAGGUUGGGUAACACUAACUGGAGGACCGAACCGACUAAUGUUGAAAAAUUAGCGGAUGACUUGUGGCUGGGGGUGAAAGGCCAAUCAAACCGGGAGAUAGCUGGUUCUCCCCGAAAGCUAUUUAGGUAGCGCCUCGUGAAUUCAUCUCCGGGGGUAGAGCACUGUUUCGGCAAGGGGGUCAUCCCGACUUACCAACCCGAUGCAAACUGCGAAUACCGGAGAAUGUUAUCACGGGAGACACACGGCGGGUGCUAACGUCCGUCGUGAAGAGGGAAACAACCCAGACCGCCAGCUAAGGUCCCAAAGUCAUGGUUAAGUGGGAAACGAUGUGGGAAGGCCCAGACAGCCAGGAUGUUGGCUUAGAAGCAGCCAUCAUUUAAAGAAAGCGUAAUAGCUCACUGGUCGAGUCGGCCUGCGCGGAAGAUGUAACGGGGCUAAACCAUGCACCGAAGCUGCGGCAGCGACACUGUGUGUUGUUGGGUAGGGGAGCGUUCUGUAAGCCUGUGAAGGUGUGCUGUGAGGCAUGCUGGAGGUAUCAGAAGUGCGAAUGCUGACAUAAGUAACGAUAAAGCGGGUGAAAAGCCCGCUCGCCGGAAGACCAAGGGUUCCUGUCCAACGUUAAUCGGGGCAGGGUGAGUCGACCCCUAAGGCGAGGCCGAAAGGCGUAGUCGAUGGGAAACAGGUUAAUAUUCCUGUACUUGGUGUUACUGCGAAGGGGGGACGGAGAAGGCUAUGUUGGCCGGGCGACGGUUGUCCCGGUUUAAGCGUGUAGGCUGGUUUUCCAGGCAAAUCCGGAAAAUCAAGGCUGAGGCGUGAUGACGAGGCACUACGGUGCUGAAGCAACAAAUGCCCUGCUUCCAGGAAAAGCCUCUAAGCAUCAGGUAACAUCAAAUCGUACCCCAAACCGACACAGGUGGUCAGGUAGAGAAUACCAAGGCGCUUGAGAGAACUCGGGUGAAGGAACUAGGCAAAAUGGUGCCGUAACUUCGGGAGAAGGCACGCUGAUAUGUAGGUGAAGUCCCUCGCGGAUGGAGCUGAAAUCAGUCGAAGAUACCAGCUGGCUGCAACUGUUUAUUAAAAACACAGCACUGUGCAAACACGAAAGUGGACGUAUACGGUGUGACGCCUGCCCGGUGCCGGAAGGUUAAUUGAUGGGGUCAGCGCAAGCGAAGCUCUUGAUCGAAGCCCCGGUAAACGGCGGCCGUAACUAUAACGGUCCUAAGGUAGCGAAAUUCCUUGUCGGGUAAGUUCCGACCUG